AUUCCAUUCCAUUCUCUAGCUGUUGGAGGUGUGAAUCCAAUAGUACUGAUUCUUCAAUACUUCAUGACCUAGUGACUGCUUCUCUUUGGAGGCAUGGGCCAGGCAUCUCAGUUUCAGACAGUUCCCUGGAACCAAUAGAAUUGAUGCCUCUUCCACAUACCACGUAUUUUAGUUUGCAGUCACUAUUUUCUAUUCUCCACAGGACAUAGGGGUUUGUGAAGACUGCAUUUCUGUCCAGAACUGUGAUUGAAAGGAUACAAGAUGUAACAAAGAGCAAAAUGUGCAAGUUUAUACCAAGCAGAGAGUGUGCAGUCUACUCAGUCUCUUGGCAGACACUGAGAAAUGUAUUAAAAUCAAAAAUAAAGCUAA